rnacentral:rRNA from 1 species
AACGAACGCUGGCGGCAUGCCUAACACAUGCAAGUCGAACGAGACCUUCGGGUCUAGUGGCGCACGGGUGCGUAACGCGUGGGAACCUGCCCUUAGGUUCGGAAUAACUCCCCGAAAGGGGUGCUAAUACCGGAUAAUGUCUUCGGACCAAAGAUUUAUCGCCUUUGGAUGGGCCCGCGUUGGAUUAGCUAGUUGGUAGGGUAAAAGCCUACCAAGGCGACGAUCCAUAGCUGGUCUGAGAGGAUGAUCAGCCACACUGGGACUGAGACACGGCCCAGACUCCUACGGGAGGCAGCAGUGGGGAAUAUUGGAAAAGGGGCGAAAGCCUGACCCAGAAAUGCCGGGUGAGUGAUGAAGGCCUUAGGGUUGUAAAGCUCUUUUACCCGGGAUGAUAAUGACAGUACCGGGAGAAUAAGCCCCGGCUAACUCCGU